rnacentral:misc_RNA from 1 species
UAAUAAGUGUUUUAUGGCACUUUUUAAAUCCAUAUCCACCUUGUGUGCAAUGUCGGUCGAUCUUCUUUUUUUGAGGAUCGACCAAACAUCAACCUUUAUUUUUAACUCUUUGUCUGAAAAAUAUUAUGAAAUAAACAAUUCAAAUA